CUUCUGGGUCUUCACUCUGAAAAUACCAGAUCUUGUCUGGUUUUGGAAACUAAGCAGAAGCAGACCUGAUUAUUACUUAGAUGGGAGACCACCAGGAAAUUCCAGGACACCUAGGAAC
rnacentral:rRNA from 1 species